rnacentral:siRNA from 1 species
AAAGUGAACCUGUAAAACGCCCA